rnacentral:rRNA from 1 species
CUGCGAGUGAAGCGGCAAAAGCUCAAAUUUGAAAUCUGACGUUCAUCCGGAUGUCCGAGUUGUAAUUUGGAGGAGCGUCUUCGGGAGCAGACACCGUCCUAAGUUCUUUUGGAACUGGACAUCACAGAGGGUGAGAAUCCCGUGCCUGGGCGGCGGUCUGCUGCCAUGCGAAGCGUUUCCGACGAGUCGAGUUGUUUGGGAAUGCAGCUCAAAACGGGUGGUAAAUUUCAUCUAAAGCUAAAUAUUGGCGAGAGACCGAUAGCGCACAAGUAGAGUGAUCGAAAGAUGAAAAGCACUUUGAAAAGAGAGUUAAACAGUACGUGAAAUUGUUGAAAGGGAAGCGCUUGAGAUUAAACCUGGAAGGGAUGGUUGCAAGGUUGGGACCCCUCCACCUUGAAAAACGACCAUCUCCACCCCAGGCCACCAUCGGUUCUGGCGGCGAGAAAAACAGCCAGGGAAUGUGGCUCCUCUCGGGGAGUGUUAUAGACCUAGCCUAUUUGCGCCAGCCGGGACCGAGGAAUAGAGCGAGCUGGGUUAAACCCCAUGACCUCAAGGAUGUGUGGCAUGUUGAUCUUAAGCGACCCG